rnacentral:rRNA from 1 species
UAUGCACGCUGGCGGCGUGCCUAAUACAUGCAAGUCGAGCGAACAGACGAGGAGCUUGCUCCUCUGACGUUAGCGGCGGACGGGUGAGUAACACGUGGAUAACCUACCUAUAAGACUGGGAUAACUUCGGGAAACCGGAGCUAAUACCGGAUAAUAUAUUGAACCGCAUGGUUCAAUAGUGAAAGACGGUUUUGCUGUCACUUAUAGAUGGAUCCGCGCCGCAUUAGCUUGUUGGUAAGGUAACGGCUUACCAAGGCAACGAUGCGUAGCCGACCUGAGAGGGUGAGCGGCCACACUGGAACUGAGACACGGUCCAGACUCCUACGGGAGGCAGCAGUAGGGAAUCUUCCGCAAUGGGCGAAAGCCUGACGUAGCAACGCCGCGUGAGUGAUGAAGGUCUUCGGAUCGUAAAACUCUGUUAUUAUGGAAGAACAAAUGUGUAAGUAACUAUGCACGUCUUGACGGUACCUAAUCAGAAAGCCACGGCUAACUACGUG